rnacentral:tRNA from 1 species
GGCAGUAUGGCUGAGAUAGAGGCGAUGGAUUGUAAAUUCAUAGUAUAAAGGUUCGAGUCCUUUUGCUGUCA